GUUUGCGGCUCAAUGGUAGAGCACUUGCCUAGCAUGUGUGAGGCACUGGGUUCAAUUCUCAGCACCACA
rnacentral:tRNA from 1 species